rnacentral:rRNA from 1 species
UUGCCCUACGGGAGGCAGCAGUGAGGAAUAUUGGUCAAUGGGCUUACGCCUGAACCAGCCAAGUCGCGUGAGGGAAGACUGCCCUAUGGGUUGUAAACCUCUUUUGUCAGGGAGCAAUUGGCGCUACGUGUAGCGUUAUCGAGAGUACCUGAAGAAAAAGCAUCGGCUAACUCCGUGCCAGCAGCCGCGGUAAUACGGAGGAUGCGAGCGUUAUCCGGAUUUAUUGGGUUUAAAGGGUGCGUAGGCGGACAGUCAAGUCAGCGGUAAAAAUGCGGUGCUCAACGCCGUACAGCCGUUGAAACUGG